rnacentral:rRNA from 1 species
GAUGAACGCUAGCGGCAGGCUUAAUACAUGCAAGUCGAGGGGCAGCACGGUUAGCAAUAACUGGUGGCGACCGGCGCACGGGUGCGUAACACGUAUACAAUCUACCUUAAACAGGGGGAUAGCCUUUCGAAAGAGAGAUUAAUACCCCGUAAUAAAUUGAACGGCAUCGUUUGAUUUUGAAAGCUCCGGCGGUUUGAGAUGAGUAUGCGUCUGAUUAGCUAGUUGGUGAGGUAACGGCUCACCAAGGCGACGAUCAGUAGGGGAUCUGAGAGGACUAACCCCCACACUGGUACUGAGACACGGACCAGACUCCUACGGGAGGCAGCAGUAAGGAAUAUUGGUCAAUGGAGGCAACUCUGAACCAGCCAUGCCGCGUGCAGGAUGACGCCCUAUGGGUUGUAAACUGCUUUUAUACAAGAGAAAACCCUGGUACGUGUACCAGGUUGAUAGUAUUGUAAGAAUAAGCAUCGGCUAACUUCGUGCCAGCAGCCGCGGUAAU